rnacentral:rRNA from 2 species
AAAUUGAAGAGUUUGAUCAUGGCUCAGAUUGAACGCUGGCGGCAGGCCUAACACAUGCAAGUCGAGCGGAAACGAGUUAUCUGAACCUUCGGGGAACGAUAACGGCGUCGAGCGGCGGACGGGUGAGUAAUGCCUAGGAAAUUGCCCUGAUGUGGGGGAUAACCAUUGGAAACGAUGGCUAAUA